rnacentral:tRNA from 1 species
AGGUAUAUAGCUCAGUGGUAGAGCAUUAGACUUUUAAUCUAUUGGUCCUAGGUUCAAGUCCUAGUAUACCUA